rnacentral:rRNA from 1 species
AGAGUUUGAUCAUGGCUCAGAUUGAACGCUGGCGGUAUGCUUAAGACAUGCAAGUCGUGCGGUAGAAGGCUUCGGCCUUUGAGAGCGGCGGACGGGUGAGUAACACGUGGGAAUCUGCCUAUUAGUGGGGGACAGCCCAGCGAAAGCUGGAUUAAUACCGCAUACGCCCUACGGGGGAAAGCAGCAAUGCGCUAAUAGAUGAGCCCGCGUAAGAUUAGCUAGUUGGUAAGGUAAAGGCUUACCAAGGCGACGAUCUUUAGCUGGUCUGAGAGGAUGGCCAGCCACAUCGGGACUGAGACACGGCCCGGACUCCUACGGGAGGCAGCAGUCGGGAAUAUUGGACAAUGGGCGCAAGCCUGAUCCAGCAAUACCGCGUGUGUGAAGAAGGCCUGCGGGUUGUAAAGCACUUUCAGUUGGGAAGAUAAUGACGUUACCAACAGAAGAAGCACCGGCUAACUCCGUGCCAGCGGCCGCGGUAAUACGGAGGGUGCAAGCGUUAAUCGGAAUUACUGGGCGUAAAGCGUGCGUAGGCGGCCUGUUAAGUCAGAUGUGAAAGCCCCGGGCUUAACCUGGGAACUGCAUCUGAUACUGGGAGGCUAGAAUGUGGGAGAGGAGAGUGGAAUUUCCGGUGUAGCGGUGAAAUGCAUAGAGAUCGGAAGGAACACCAGUGGCGAAGGCGGCUCUCUGGACCAACAUUGACGCUGAGGCACGAAAGCGUGGGUAGCAAACAGGAUUAGAUACCCUGGUAGUCCACGCCGUAAACGAUGUCAACUAGCCGCCGGCCUCACUCUAGAGGUCGGUGGUGCAGCUAACGCAUUAAGUUGACCGCCUGGGGAGUACGGCCGCAAGGUUGAAACUCAAAGGAAUUGACGGGGGCCCGCACAAGCGGUGGAGCAUGUGGUUUAAUUCGAUGCAACGCGAAGAACCUUACCUGGUCUUGACAUGUAGUGAACUUAGCAGAAAUGUUUUGGUGCCUUCGGGAGCGCAGAGACAGGUGCUGCAUGGCUGUCGUCAGCUCGUGUCGUGAGAUGUUGGGUUAAGUCCCGCAACGAGCGCAACCCUUGUCCUUAGUUGCCAGCACGUAAUGGUGGGAACUCUAAGGAGACCGCCGGUGACAAACCGGAGGAAGGUGGGGACGACGUCAAGUCAUCAUGGCCCUUAUGACCAGGGCUACACACGUGCUACAAUGGUCGGUACAAAGGGUUGCCAAACCGCGAGGUGGAGCCAAUCCCAUAAAACCGAUCGUAGUCCGGAUUGGAGUCUGCAACUCGACUCCAUGAAGUCGGAAUCGCUAGUAAUCGUAGAUCAGCAUUGCUACGGUGAAUACGUUCCCGGGCCUUGUACACACCGCCCGUCACACCAUGGGAGUUUGUUGCACCAGAAGCAGGUAGCUUAACCGUAAGGAGGGCGCUUGCCACGGUGUGGCCGAUGACUGGGGUGAAGUCGUAACAAGGUAGCC